UACGUAGGGACCAAGCGUUGUUCGGAUUUACUGGGCGUAAAGGGCGCGUAGGCGGCUUGACAAGUCACUUGUGGAAUCUCCGGGCUUGACUCGGAACGGCCAAGUGAAACUGUCAUGCUAGAGUGCAGAAGGGGCAAUCGGAAUUCUUGGUGUAGCGGUGAAAUGCGUAGAUAUCAAGAGGAACACCUGAGGUGAAGACGGGUUGCUGGGCUGACACUGACGCUGAGGCGCGAAAUCCAGGGGAGCAAACGGG
rnacentral:rRNA from 1 species